GGGUUGUGAGGUUAAGCGACUAAGCGUACACGGUGGAUGCCCUGGCAGUCAGAGGCGAUGAAGGACGUGCUAAUCUGCGAAAAGCGUCGGUAAGGUGAUAUGAACCGUUACAGCCGGCGAUGUCCGAAUGGGGAAACCCAGUGCAAUUCGUUGCACUAUCGUUAACUGAAUACAUAGGUUAACGAGGCGAACCGGGGGAACUGAAACAUCUAAGUACCCCGAGGAAAAGAAAUCAACCGAGAUUCCCCCAGUAGCGGCGAGCGAACGGGGAGCAGCCCAGAGUCUGAAUCAGCUUGUGUGUUAGUGGAACGGUCUGGAAAGUCCGACGGUACAGGGUGAUAGUCCCGUACACCAAAAUGCACAGGCUGUGAACUCGAAGAGUAGGGCGGGACACGUGGUAUCCUGUCUGAAUAUGGGGGGACCAUCCUCCAAGGCUAAAUACUCCUGACUGACCGAUAGUGAACCAGUACCGUGAGGGAAAGGCGAAAAGAACCCCGGCGAGGGGAGUGAAAAAGAACCUGAAACCGUGUACGUACAAGCAGUGGGAGCACCUUCGGGUGUGACUGCGUACCUUUUGUAUAAUGGGUCAGCGACUUAUAUUCUGUAGCAAGGUUAACCGUAUAGGGGAGCCGCAGGGAAACCGAGUCUUAACUGGGCGUUAAGUUGCAGGGUAUAGACCCGAAACCCGGUGAUCUAGCCAUGGGCAGGUUGAAGGUUGGGUAACACUAACUGGAGGACCGAACCGACUAAUGUUGAAAAAUUAGCGGAUGACUUGUGGCUGGGGGUGAAAGGCCAAUCAAACCGGGAGAUAGCUGGUUCUCCCCGAAAGCUAUUUAGGUAGCGCCUCGUGAACUCAUCUUCGGGGGUAGAGCACUGUUUCGGCUAGGGGGUCAUCCCGACUUACCAACCCGAUGCAAACUACGAAUACCGAAGAAUGUUAUCACGGGAGACACACGGCGGGUGCUAACGUCCGUCGUGAAGAGGGAAACAACCCAGACCGCCAGCUAAGGUCCCAAAGUCAUGGUUAAGUGGGAAACGAUGUGGGAAGGCACAGACAGCCAGGAUGUUGGCUUAGAAGCAGCCAUCAUUUAAAGAAAGCGUAAUAGCUCACUGGUCGAGUCGGCCUGCGCGGAAGAUGUAACGGGGCUAAACCAUGCACCGAAGCUGCGGCAGCGACACUAUGUGUUGUUGGGUAGGGGAGCGUUCUGUAAGCCUGCGAAGGUGACCUGUGAGGGUUGCUGGAGGUAUCAGAAGUGCGAAUGCUGACAUAAGUAACGAUAAAGCGGGUGAAAAGCCCGCUCGCCGGAAGACCAAGGGUUCCUGUCCAACGUUAAUCGGGGCAGGGUGAGUCGACCCCUAAGGCGAGGCCGAAAGGCGUAGUCGAUGGGAAACAGGUUAAUAUUCCUGUACUUGGUGUUACUGCGAAGGGGGGACGGAGAAGGCUAUGUUAGCCGGGCGACGGUUGUCCCGGUUUAAGCAUGUAGGCUGGUUAUCCAGGCAAAUCCGGAUAAUCAAGGCUGAGGUGUGAUGACGAGGCACUACGGUGCUGAAGUAACAAAUGCCCUGCUUCCAGGAAAAGCCUCUAAGCAUCAGGUAACAUCAAAUCGUACCCCAAACCGACACAGGUGGUCAGGUAGAGAAUACCAAGGCGCUUGAGAGAACUCGGGUGAAGGAACUAGGCAAAAUGGUGCCGUAACUUCGGGAGAAGGCACGCUGGUGUGUAGGUGAAGUCCCUGCGGAUGGAGCUGAGACCAGUCGAAGAUACCAGCUGGCUGCAACUGUUUAUUAAAAACACAGCACUGUGCAAACACGAAAGUGGACGUAUACGGUGUGACGCCUGCCCGGUGCCGGAAGGUUAAUUGAUGGGGUUAUCCGUAAGGAGAAGCUCUUGAUCGAAGCCCCGGUAAACGGCGGCCGUAACUAUAACGGUCCUAAGGUAGCGAAAUUCCUUGUCGGGUAAGUUCCGACCUGCACGAAUGGCGUAAUGAUGGCCAGGCUGUCUCCACCCGAGACUCAGUGAAAUUGAACUCGCUGUGAAGAUGCAGUGUACCCGCGGCAAGACGGAAAGACCCCGUGAACCUUUACUAUAGCUUGACACUGAACAUUGAGCCUUGAUGUGUAGGAUAGGUGGGAGGCUUUGAAGCGUGGACGCCAGUCUGCGUGGAGCCAACCUUGAAAUACCACCCUUUAAUGUUUGAUGUUCUAACGUUGGCCCCUGACCGGGGUUGCGGACAGUGUCUGGUGGGUAGUUUGACUGGGGCGGUCUCCUCCCAAAGCGUAACGGAGGAGCACGAAGGUUAGCUAAUCCUGGUCGGACAUCAGGAGGUUAGUGCAAUGGCAUAAGCUAGCUUGACUGCGAGCGUGACGGCGCGAGCAGGUGCGAAAGCAGGUCAUAGUGAUCCGGUGGUUCUGAAUGGAAGGGCCAUCGCUCAACGGAUAAAAGGUACUCCGGGGAUAACAGGCUGAUACCGCCCAAGAGUUCAUAUCGACGGCGGUGUUUGGCACCUCGAUGUCGGCUCAUCACAUCCUGGGGCUGAAGUAGGUCCCAAGGGUAUGGCUGUUCGCCAUUUAAAGUGGUACGCGAGCUGGGUUUAGAACGUCGUGAGACAGUUCGGUCCCUAUCUGCCGUGGGCGCUGGAGAAUUGAGGGGGGCUGCUCCUAGUACGAGAGGACCGGAGUGGACGCAUCACUGGUGUUCGGGUUGUCAUGCCAAUGGCACUGCCCGGUAGCUAAAUGCGGAAGAGAUAAGUGCUGAAAGCAUCUAAGCACGAAACUUGCCCCGAGAUGAGUUCUCCCUGAGACUUUAAGUCUCCUGAAGGAACGUUGAAGACGACGACGUUGAUAGGCCGGGUGUGUAAGCGCAGCGAUGCGUUGAGCUAACCGGUACUAAUGAACCGUGAGGCUUAACCUUACAACGCCGAAG
rnacentral:rRNA from 2 species